GGGUACCCCACCUUGGCAGAAUGCUCAGGAAAAUACUUCAUAGUACAAAAACACUUGAAAAGACUUACAGUUGCUUAACUUGCAGGCUUUAACCCUAUAAAGAAGCCUAGAAAGCAACUGGUUUUGCAUCCACAGAACAAUGGACCAGUACUGGGUUUCAUCUCCAGGGAGGUAAGAGGAUGAAAGCUUCCUAAGGAAGCAGUGCCUUUGUAGAAACUGUUACAGUGAUUUUGGAAUGUCCAAUACAUAAAAGCUUUAAAUAUGGACUGGACAGUUAAACACUUCAAAGCUAAUCCCAGCUCACAUUGUCAGCAUGGAUCCUGUUCCUUUUUGUAUUAUUUUAUACUUUGAUUUAGUGAGGUUUUCUCCUUUUUGAAAACUCUGAUGACUUUUUUAAUGAAAAGGAAUAUUGCAUGUUUGCAUUAUAAAAAAAGCCUGUGCGUUUUGUGAAGCAAAGAAAAAACAAAGAAAAUCUCUUACCUUGACUUAAGACAGAAUGUUCCAACCAGGGUCCAAAUUUAGUUUUCUACAGAUCCACCUACACCAGAUCUUUCUGGUAGAUGGUCAGCUGAGGAGACAGCAAGCUAAGUUUCAAAAUACCACAGUUCUAGCUGGAAUCAUAUGGCUGGUGAUUGGUAACUAGUUACAUAUUAAACCCUCCAAUUUAAUAAAAGGGGCCAGCCAAGGCUUAGGGAACUUGAUUACAGCACCAUUAUGAUCUCUAUGAUCCUGACACAGAUUCUCAAAGAAAAAGUACAAAGAGAAGAGUUCCUCAUGUUUAACAGAUGACUGCAAUUACCACAAAAAGGUAAGGAUUUCUGACCACCAAGUAUUCCAGUCUGAAUCUAGACAGAAAAGGUACUUAGCUAGUCAGGGGAUUUCAAGACAUAAACUUACAUGGUUAAGGUUAUAAUUAUUUCUUUAUAGUAAAAAAAUUUAUUCAGUAAUAUUCAGCUUUAUCCAGUAACCUUGUUUACUCUUCACUGUAGGUAAACAGAUAAUAAAAAAGGAACUAACAAAGCCUUUAGAAAUAUAGUUAAAUUUUAUUUUUGUUUCCAGUGAAAAUUAAAAUAGAUUUCUUACAAUUCCCUUCACUAUUUCAGCUCUUGCAUCAGCUGGUGCUCAUCAGCGCCCACCUCUUCUUCAUUCAAAUCUUCUUUUGCUUCUGCAUCUGUCACCUCAGGGUGACUGCAGGCAGCAUCCCUAGCAGAGAGCUUUUUCAUUUUGAUGUUUGGCAGUUUCCUCAGAUCACCAUCCCAUUCUCUUGAAGACAAAAAAUAGGUAAUGAAAACCAGUUAGCAAUAGAAAGGAAGUAAUGGCAGAGUUAAUUCAUAUUUCCUCAGAAGAUGCUAACUCAAGUGAGGCUGCUUUUCUAAGUAAUUCUCUGUCCCACUGUGGCAUGAAUCAGCAACAAAGAUUUCACCUGAUUUUGUACACUACAGAAGCUGUCAUUUCUCUGUGAAGAAAAAAGUACUUUCAGAUGUGAUAUUCUGAAACAAAAAUAUAUGAUUCAUUUAAUUCCCACAGACUUAUUGUACCCUCAGUUACUUUUGGCCACCUGCUUUUAGGUUUAUCUUAUUCAACUUGCAGUCUGGUAAGCAAGCGAAAAUAAGGUCAGAAGAGUUUCUUCAUCUGGAUGCUUGAUUUGCAUAUGUGACAUCACAUUCAUAGGAGCAUGUUUUUCUGAACAAAAGACAGAAGAAAAUAUAAGAGAACAAGAAUAUAUGGAACAAGAAUUAGUGGGAAUGAAAUGAAGACAGAAUUUUGGGGAGUAGUUUAUUGUCUGGCAUUUCUAAGACAAAGUAUUCAACAAUUUUUGCGUUUAGCAAAACAGCAGUGAAAGAGGUAAGUAAACAUUUUUUAAUGUUUCUGACCUUUUCAGAUAGUUUUACUUUUCUUUCUUUUGAGGAUGAACAAACAGCCUGUUAAAAAGUAUGAAACUGUAGAUGCUCUUUAGGCAAAAAAUUAUUUGGUUAUACAAUAAUGAUCACUACAGAAAACAGCAACUAACGAUUAGUACAGAAGUUACAUUAGCAGAUAAGUGGAAAUGAUACAGCUUUCAUCCGAAUUAAAUUCAUUUCCCUGUAAUGUGAAGCCUGCAGAACUAAUUAAUAAAACUAGUGUAUUUAGUUUUAAAAGCAACUUUCCCCCAAGAUUAGUAUUAUGCAUCUGACAGAACAUGCAAGGUAAUUAGAAGUGAAUAAUCAAAAAUGGAUGAUGUUCGAAUGAAAUAAUUAUGAUGCUUUUCCACUGAAUGCAUACUAACUCUGGGUUACAAAUAAAUAAAUAAGUAUCUAGCAUUGCCUUUCAAUAGCUUUGCUAUAAACAUGUAAGACCAGAUUAAACAGAAAACCCAAAUACACAAAAAUGAAAACAUGAGGAAGAAAACUGCAGUAAAACUAGUGUAGAUAUAUUUUAAGGAGCAAGUGACAAGGAGCUGCUAAACCUCAACAUCAUCACUGAUAAUGUUCCCUGUAUAGCUAGUUUCUCUAAAAAAAGACUAAAAUUUACUGUAUUUCGGGAUGUCUACCACUUUUGUAAAAAAUCCUUACAUUGUGUAAAGGGCUAAUUUUUCAUUUACAUACAUCCUCGACAGGACAAGAGGAAAUGCCCUCAAGCUACACACAGGGAAGGUUCAUGUUGGAUGUCAGGACAGAUGUUUUUCACUUAAAGGGUGGUUAAGCAUCAGAAUGAGCUGCCCAAGGAAACGAUGGAGGAAUCAGCAGCCUGGAGAGUGUUCAAGAAAUGACUGGAUGUGGCAUUUAGUGCUAUGGUCUAGCUGACAUGGUGGUGUUUGGUCAAAGGUUGGAUUUAAUGACCUUGGAAGGCUUUUCCAGCCUAACUGAUCCUAUGAUAUAAAUAGAUUACAUCAAAUUUUAGUAGACUUCCCUAAAGGAAAAGAAUACAUAUUAUGCAGUCUCUUCAUAGCAAAUGCACAUGCAUACAAGAAAUAACUGAAUUCAAGAACAGAAGGGGAAAAAACCCAACAAAUCUAAGUCAGUUAUAAAAGCUCCACUCACUAAAGCUUCUAGGAUUAAUAAUGAGCUAGAGGCAUAAAAGCACUGUUUCCAGCUGAUUUCCAUUUAUGCCCAAUCUCUAAUUACAGUAUUUAGUUGCUAUAGUACUUAGCAGCAACUAUUUUCUCUGAAUGAACACUGUCCUAGACAGAGAGCAAAACCUGCAGCAGCUGUGAUAACAAAUAAUGAAUGAAAGUGUAUUCAAUAUGUGAAGUUGCACUGUGCUCUCUGAAUGCUUUACUUACUAAUUCUAUAAUAACCUCAAAUUUUGCCUACAAUAUUUCUAGCUUCUUCAUUAUUUUUAUGUUGUGCUUGUGCUUUUGACAUCUUUUUCUCUAGCUUUACUGCCUUUUCUGUCCGCUUUCCAAAAAGCAAUAAAAACAAAAAGAACUAAAAUUUAAAAGCAAAACCCAAAAAGAAUACAUUCUACAAUUAAGCUAAAGACAAUCAGAGAGUCGAUUUUCCUAUGACAUUUUCCCCCUUCUUCUAAGACAUCAAAGAUGAUGCAUGAAGUCAUACAGAUAUUCUUAAAUUCCUCUGCUGGCUGCACUGGCAAAUUUUAAAGUCAUUAAAUUUCUUGGUUUGUACAAUACAUAUCAGGGUGUGCUGAUUUUGGACAGGGUAGAGUUAAUUUUUUUCACUACAGUUAGUACAGGGCUGCAUUUUAGAUUAGCUGGAAAUGGUGUUGAUGAAACCAGGAUGUUUUCAUUAUUCCUGAGCUGGGCUUGCACAGGUAAGACUCUUUCUGCUUCUCACCCCAGCCCACCAGUGAGGAGGCUGAGGGUGCACAAGGAGCUGGGAGGGAACAUAGCUGGAACAGCUCUGGGACCAGGGAAUAUGACACACAACCCAAACCUUGCUCUGCUUUGAAUCCUAAUUACAGAAUACUGUAGAUUUUUCAUAUUUUCCACAACAUAUUUUACUAUUAGAAGGAUCAAUUAUGUGUGGAUUAUACUUUAACAUUAAUGCCAAGUUAACCACUCAGCUUCAACCUGUACAUUAUUGGUUAAAGCAAAAUACAAACACUUCACUGCUUAUCUUGACUAUCCCCAAACAACUCUUUGCUUCUUGUACUUUAAUUAUCUCUUUGUCUUUCUUAUUUCACCAAACUAUUGCUGCUUCCCUUCAACCUAGUUCCAGCCAUCAAAUUAAGGUCCAACCAGCUGUUGUUCAGAAUUCAAAGCAGGUGCAUUAAAAGCUCAUUUAGUUUGAAAAAUAGGUUAUAUAUGCCUGCACUGACAAGACACUAGUAGCAAAGAUGCCCAAAGGAAGGCAAAAGUAGAAUGUAUGAGUCAGAUCUCCACCAUGUUUUUUUCUCCUUUUCUUCACCAUGGCCCUCCUCCCAAAAAACUGCAAGGCACAAGCACCUGGCACUUAGGUAGUUUCUUUAAAGAGAAAAAUAAGGACAAUGCUUAGAUAGUUUGCUUAGAUUCUGGCUUUGUGAGCAGGUGUGAGGACUGAAUUCUUUAUAACACUUUUACAUACCUA